CAACACUCCACCGCAACACUCCAGACCAACCAGCUGCCGUGAGCUUGAGCACCGGGCUUGGCUUCCAGGUGGAGGCGCAUCGGAGACCACUCGAUCUGGAGGCACAUCCGGCCCCGUGGAGCCCGGGGUUCUACCAGCGGAGUGGCUGCGCGAAGCGAGGCAACGCGCGGUGGCCGGUGGUGGGGGCAGCGAGGGAAGCGAGGCGGGGACGCCUCCGCUGACUCAGUCGUCGGGAGCGGGAGGUGCGAGGCGCAGGGGAGCUGACUGUCCGUGCACCCAACGGUCGGCACCACGGCGGCCGCGGCGGAGGCCAACGGCGGCAGGGGCGGGGACCACGGGGCCGCGGCGAGGCGGCGCUGGGAUCUGCCGUUGGGGAAGUCCAUGGCGUGGUUGGACCCCGUGAACUUGCCGUCGGGGAAGUCCAGCUGCUGCAGUUUCUGUGGCGAGCUUCUGCAGUUCGUUCUCCAGUUCCUGCUAGCACUUCUUGGCCAGAAUUUGAGAUAAAAAUAGACUAUGAAGGUACUUUUGAGAUAAAAAACUAAAGCCAUUGGUGAUGCAAAGACAUGGGAAACCCGAUGCUAUGAUGCAGUCGUGGAUGGAUCAAUUUGAGAGUCCAUCAGUCACACCCAGGAAGCCUCUCCAAUCGGAUAAUACUUCUCACAGUCAAGAAGAGGACUCAUAUUCUGUCACUUCUUGGCUUCCUUUUCAAAUAUGGAUCAAGUUGAAUUCUCUGGUGGAUCUUAUUGGGGCACAAGCAGUGACUGUCUGAAGUCCAAUUCCUGGGUGUUCUUGAGCAGCCAAAUCUGGUGCAGCUGAUUGGCUCUUGCAUUGUGGAUUCAGAAGCAAGCACAGGGUGCUGGUUUAUGCGUUCAUGCCCAACAAGACUUUGGAUGAUCACCUAUUCAACCGAGCAUAUCCAAUCCUGCGCGGGGCCUGGAUUUCCACCAUGAAGGAGUACGAGAAGUUAAGUUUUAUUUCUGGACCAGAACUAUGCAUGAUCUGAAUUUCUGAACUGUACCGUGCUAAAAACGCAUUGCAGUCACGACACGUUGAAUACAUUCUCUGAAACUUUAAAAUGAACAAAAAGCCGUGCACACAAUCUUUCUGAGCUGACUGUGCAUGCAAAUUUUUUAAAGAAUGCAGAGACUGUAAUUAGUGGUUAAGAUCUGUUCCAAACUGUUGGUGUGACAGGUCAUCUACAGGGAUUUCAAAGUGUCGGACGUUUUUCUGGACGCCAAAUUCAAGCCAAAACUGUAAUAAUGACUUGUUGGGAUUGACCAAACUUGCUGAGAAGUUGCAGUGCGCUACCUAUAUAUCAGGUAAGACAUGUAGAUAGUUUUGUAUCAGAAAUUCAACACGCACAUAGUUUAUUACAGUACAACCAAAAAAUUGUUUUGUUCAGUAGUCUAUUCUUUCUUGACAAAGUGCAUAAACUUGUUAUGGUCUGAGGGCAAUGAAGAUGCCAUUUUUCUUUGUGUCA